GACGAACGCUGGCGGCGUGCUUAACACAUGCAAGUCGAACGGAAAGAUCCUGCUGUUUUCGCUUGCUCAAGUUGCCAACGAGUGGGUAACAAGUGAGUAACCUGCCCUUGACUUUGGGAUAACUUCCGAAUACUGAGGCUAAUACCGGAUAGGUGCUACUACUUCAUGGUGGGGGUUGGAAAGAUUGUGGGGUUGGGGAUGGCCUUGAGGUUUAUUUGCUUGUUAGUGGGGUAGUGGCUUGCCAAGGCCUCGGCAGGUAGCCGGCCUGAGGGGGUGACCGGCCACCUUGGGACUGAGAUACGGACCAGACUCGUACCGGCGGCAACGGUGGGGAAUAUUGCACAAUGGGCGGAAGCCUGAUGCAGAAAAGUCGCGUGCGGGAUGACGGCCUUCGGGUGGUAAACCGCUUUGGCCUGUCAAGAAGCGUGAGUGACGGUACUGGGUAAAAAAGCAACGGCUAACUACGUG
rnacentral:rRNA from 1 species